rnacentral:rRNA from 1 species
UACUAACGCUGGCGGCGUGCUUAACACAUGCAAGUCGAACGGGCCUGCCCUUUUUUGGUUGGGUUGCGUGGCGAACGGGGGAGUAUCACGUGAGUAACCUGCCCCCUGCUCCUGGAUAACGCUCUGAAAGGGGUGCUAAUACGGGGUGUGCUGGUGCUGCCGCAUGGUGGUGCCGGGAUAGGUUCGCCUUUUUUUUGGGGUUCUGGUCGGGUAUGGGCUCGCGGCCUAUGAGCUGGUUGGUGGGGUGAUGGCCUACCAAGGCGGUGACGGGUAGCCGGCCUGAGAGGGUGGACGGCCACACUGGGACUGAGACACGGCCCAGACUCCGGCGGGAGGCAGCAGUGGGGGGUAUUGCGCAAUGGGCGGAAGCCUGACGCAGCGACGCCGCGUGAGGGACGGAGGCCUUCGGGUUGUGAACCUCUUUCGCCGGUGGAGAAGGCGCCCCCGUGUGGGGUGCUGACUGUAGCCGGGUUAAGAAGCGCCGGCUAACUACGC